GAGGUUUAGUGCAAUAGCAGAGUGGAGCCCUGGUACAGCACGGCUUGUAAACCCUACAACAGCCAAUGGACAUGCAGCAAAGAGAAAGAGGGCUGACACCCCUGAUGGAGUACUGAGCCUGUGGCAGGGUGUGGCAGACUCAGGACUGAUGGGGGAGGUCUUGUCCAGUCUUCAGACUGAAUUCUUAGCCAGUCUCAAAGGAGUGGAGGUUCGCAGUGAGAAUGACAACCUGCAGGAGACAGAUGCCAUCAUGCUUAAUUCCUUGUGUGAGAUGUUCGGGCUUUUAGACUCAGUGAAGCAAACUCUGGAUCUGAGGCGCAG